AUUGAACGCUGGCGGCAUGCCUUACACAUGCAAGUCGAACGGCAGCACGGGGGCAACCCUGGUGGCGAGUGGCGAACGGGUGAGUAACACAUCGGAACGUGCCCCGUAGCGGGGGACAACCAGUCGAAAGACUGGCUAAUACCGCAUACGCUCCACGGAGGAAAGCAGGGGAUCGCAAGACCUUGCACUAUGGGAGCGGCCGAUGCCCGAUUAGCUAGUUGGUGAGGUAAAGGCUCACCAAGGCAACGAUCGGUAGCUGGUCUGAGAGGACGACCAGCCACACUGGGACUGAGACACGGCCCAGAC
rnacentral:rRNA from 1 species